rnacentral:rRNA from 1 species
UUCGGGGACAUUGGUGACAGGUGGUGCAUGGUUGUCGUCAGCUCGUGUCGUGAGAUGUUGGGUUAAGUCCCGCAACGAGCGCAACCCUUGUCUUUAGUUGCCAUCAUUAAGUUGGGCACUCUAGAGAGACUGCCAGGGAUAACCUGGAGGAAGGUGGGGAUGACGUCAAAUCAUCAUGCCCCUUAUGCUUAGGGCUACACACGUGCUACAAUGGGUAGUACAGAGGGUUGCCAAGCCGUAAGGUGGAGCUAAUCCCUUAAAGCUACUCUCAGUUCGGAUUGUAGGCUGAAACUCGCCUACAUGAAGCUGGAGUUACUAGUAAUCGCAGAUCAGAAUGCUGCGGUGAAUGCGUUCCCGGGUCUUGUACACACCGCCCGUCACACCACGGGAGUUGGAGACGCCCGAAGCCGAUUAUCUAACCUUGUGGAAGAAGUCGUCGAAGGGUGAAUCAAUAACUGGGUUUAAGUCGUAACAAGGUAGCCGUAUCGGAAGGUGCGGCUGGAUCACCUCCUUUCUAAGGA